GGCGNGCUUACACAUGCAAGUCGAACGAUGAUCCGGUGCUUGCGCCGGGGAUUAGUGGCGAACGGGUGAGUAACACGUGAGUAACCUGCCCUUGACUCUGGGAUAAGCCUGGGAAACUGGGUCUAAUACCGGAUAUGACUCCUCAUCGCAUGGUGGGGGGUGGAAAGCUUUUUGUGGUUUUGGAUGGACUCGCGGCCUAUCAGCUUGUUGGUGGGGUAAUGGCCUACCAAGGCGACGACGGGUAGCCGGCCUGAGAGGGUGACCGGCCACACUGGGACUGAGACACGGCCCAGACUCCUACGGGAGGCAGCAGUGGGGAAUAUUGCACAAUGGGCGAAAGCCUGAUGCAGCGACGCCGCGUGAGGGAUGACGGCCUUCGGGUUGUAAACCUCUUUCAGUAGGGAAGAAGCCCUCUUUGGGGGUGACGGUACUUGCAGAAGAAGCGCCGGCUAACUACGUGCCAGCAGCCGCGGUAAUACGUAGGGCGCAAGCGUUAUCCGGAAUUAUUGGGCGUAAAGAGCUCGUAGGCGGUUUGUCGCGUCUGCUGUGAAAGACCGGGGCUCAACUCCGGUUCUGCAGUGGGUACGGGCAGACUAGAGUGCAGUAGGGGAGACUGGAAUUCCUGGUGUAGCGGUGAAAUGCGCACAUAUCAGGAGGAACACCGAUGGCGAAGGCAGGUCUCUGGGCUGUAACUGACGCUGAGGAGC
rnacentral:rRNA from 1 species